UACGGUAGGGCGCAAGCGUUGUCCGGAAUUAUUGGGCGUAAAGAGCUCGUAGCGGCCAGUGCGUCCGCUGUGAAAUCCCGGGGGCUUAACCCCGGGCGUGCAGUGGAUACGGGGCUGGCUGGAGGCAGGCAGGGGGAGAACGGAAGUUACCCGGUCGUGAGCGGUGAAAUGCGCAGAUAUCGGGAGGAACACCGGUGGCGAAGGCGGUUCUCUGGGAAUGUCCUGACGCUGAGGAGCGAAAGUGUGGGGAGCGAACAGG
rnacentral:rRNA from 1 species